rnacentral:rRNA from 1 species
GACGGGGGAUGCAAGUGUUAUCCGGAAUCACCGGGCGUAAAGCGUCUGCAGGUGGUUUCCUAAGUCCACUGUUAAACCUUGAGGCUCAACCUCAAAUCUGCAUUGGAAACUAGGAGACUUGAGUAUAGUAGGGGUAGAGGGAAUUUCCAGUGGAGCGGUGAAAUGCGUAGAUAUUGGAAAGAACACCGAUGGCGAAGGCACUCUACUGGGCUAUUACUGACACUCAGAGACGAAAGCUAGGGGAGCAAAUGGG